rnacentral:rRNA from 1 species
AGUGAACGCUGGCGGUAGGCCUAACACAUGCAAGUCGAACGGCAGCACAGUAAGAGCUUGCUCUUACGGGUGGCGAGUGGCGGACGGGUGAGGAAUACAUCGGAACCUACUUUUUCGUGGGGGAUAACGUAGGGAAACUUACGCUAAUACCACAUACGACCUCCGGGUGAAAGCAGGGGAUCUUCGGACCUUGCGCGAUUGAUUGAGCCGAUGUCGGAUUAGCUAGUUGGCGGGGUAAAGGCCCACCAAGGCGACGAUCCGUAGCUGGUCUGAGAGGAUGAUCAGCCACACUGGAUCUGAGACACCGGCCAGACUCCGACGAGAGGCAGCAGUGGGGAGUAUUGGACGAUGGGCGCAAGCCUGAUCCAGCCAUACCGCGUGCGUUAAGAUGGACUUCGGGUUGUAAAGCCCUUUUGUUGGGAAAGAAAAGCAUUAGGUUUAUACCCCGCUGUAAUGACGGUACCGAAAGAAUAAGCACCGGCUAACUUCGUG